rnacentral:rRNA from 1 species
AUGAACGGCCUCCUCGUGUCGCCGUGCACAAGGCCGCCCCUGCUCCGCCCCUUCCCGAGCCCGGCCACCCGUCUCCUACCCGCCAGAACCCUAGUUCUCCGGCCGCUCCGUCUCCCCCGUGGCGUCUGUGCGUCCCCUCCACCCCCGCGCGCCGCCGCCGCCGCCGCGUCUGCUGUGGGCGGGCUUCUGGCGCCGCUCGAGGUUGGCCUGCGUAGCAUCAACCUCGCGCCGCUGCGUCCGCCGGUUGCGGCGGCCAUGUCAGCGGCCGUGCGGUGGCUGGGGGUCUACCGGGAGGUUCUGCUUGUCGGGGUGCUCUUCUCCUGGUUUCCCAACAUCCCCUGGGACCGCCAACCCUUCUCCGCCCUGCGAGACCUCUGCGACCCUUUUCUCGCCCUCUGCCGCGAGGUCGUGCCGCCCGUCUUCGGCCGCAAGCUCGAUCUCAGCCCGCUCGUCGCCUUCAUGGCCAUAGACAUCCUCAUCAUGAUCCUUCGCCCACAGCCACGCAUGUGA